ACUCCUUUAAGACACUUGAUUACAAUAUUGAAAAACCAUUAUUUUUUACUAGGUCCUUGGACCACCUAGCUAUCUGCUGCUAACGCCUGGGACUCGGCUAUAAACCCAAUGCUGAAGCCAAAACUUAUGCAGGACAGUGGCUGAUUCUUGUCAUCCACCAUCUUCAUUGUAAGAGUGUAUGAUCCCUAAAUUUUAAAAAGGAAAAAGAAAAACACCAUUAAGUACGUUUAAAGGCGGCAGUACAGGAUUUUCUUCCAAUUCAAACCCGGAAAACCAAACAAAGACAAGUUAUAAUGAUAAAUAAAUCAGCAUCUGAAACAUCGAUAAAUAUCAAGUAGAUGCAAUCGGAAAAAGCAUCUUCUGAAUAAUUGAGUAAAAUUCAAGUAGACCUGUAAAUGCAAUUGGAAAAAGCAUCUUCAUACAAUAUAUUUGGCUGGUUUUUAUUGUUUCAAAAAGAAAUUGUAUUAGACUGGCCUUUGAUGUGCUCUACUUUCUAAAAGGCUUUCCCUCCGAAAAGAUGAAGGGUAAUAACAGAACCAAAAAGCAAGAAAAUCUACAAAAAUGCCAAGCAAAAAGAGAACCAAAUGUGAAGGCUGUACUCCUCAAGCCGUAAGUUCUUUUUUUUUUUUUGAUAACCAAAAAAUCCCCAAUGCCGUAGGCACACCGACCCAUGACGUGCGCCUAACCCGCACAACAUGCAAUGUACUCUUACCACUAGUCCAUACCCAUAGCUUUACAGCAUCAGGAAGUAGACCCCACUACUUUCCCACAAGAGGCACAUAAUAUUAUGGUUUGAAGACUUGUAAGGACAAAGCAGCUCAUGAAAUGCAGAGACGGCUAAGCUUUUUAGAAAAUUUAUGCAGAAUGAAAAUAGCAAAUUGAUAUUAAGAUGGAUAGUUCAAAACUGAAUCGGAAAGUUGACUCACAGGUGGAGUAAAUCCAGGCAACUCUUGUGAGUGGGAAAUCACGAAAUCACCGGAAGCUGGGCAAGAUGUCUCUUUACAAAGGUCGAUGGCCUCGU
rnacentral:lncRNA from 1 species